rnacentral:lncRNA from 1 species
GAUCCAGCAUGCAUAUGAGCUCUAAGGCAGGACAGAGUGGCACUUUGGAGAACCCUCCACCGUCCUUAAACCAGCCCCACUUCCCACUUCCAGUUCUACCCACUCUUGGCUUAGGAAAUUUUCUCCUCUUUUUGCCCUGAAAAUUAGCCUUGGUGGCUGAGUUUUGCUUUUCAGGUUCUCAUUGCUAGUGCUUAUUUUGACGCUUAGUGACCAUCUCAUUCCUACUAUUGGCCCGCAGUAGGGAAUCAGACCUUUAGUAGACACGGAGCUCUUCAAAUACAGAGUGAACUUGGGGCAUCUGAUCAUGUGGGUCAAGAUGAACACUACAGAAUACAACUGAGAGCCACAUGCAGCACUGAGAAGUGAAGGAAUAUUUGGGAGGAUCAGAAGCUUGGUCCUGAUUUUGCCAUCAACAGGAACUUGAUGACUUCAAGGGAGUCCCCAAACCCUGGGUUUCUGUUUUCUCAACUCUAACAUGAGGGGCUAGAUGCAUCUGGUUUAGUUAGUCUCCAUGAUGGUUUAGUUCGUCUCCAUGAUCCUGUGAAUUUCAGAUGUUGAAAAUCUUCGGAAAAGCCCUGAAAGAUGAACAGUGGUCUCAAAUAGUCAAGACCCCCUGCUGGGAGGAGCUUCUAUCCUGCUCUGUGGAAGAAAUGGGCAUGCCAGAUGCCUG